UUUUUUUUGAGGUACAAAAAAUAUAACCUGCUCAAUGAAUUUAAAAUUUAAAUUGCCGCAGUAAUUUGACUGUGCUAAGGUAGCAUAAUCAUUUGCUUUAUAAAUGAAAGCUAGAAUGAAUGGUUUAAUGAGAUGAAGUUUUUCUUAAUUUUAAAAUUUUGAAUUUACAAUUUUAGUAAAAAUUCUAAAAUGAAAUUGUGGGACGAUAAGACCCUAAAAGCUUAAUUUAGUUAAUAAAUUUAUAAACUUAAAAUUUUUUAAUAAAUUUUACUGGGGCGGUAUUGAAAGAAAUUAAUCUUUUAAAAGAAUUUUUAUUUAGACCCAUAAUUGAAUUAUGAAGAUUGAUCAAGUUACUUUAGGGAUAACAGCAUAAUUUAUUUAAAGAGUUCAAAUCGAUAAAUAAGUUUAUGACCUCGAUGUUGAAUUAAAAUAAUUUUCUAGGAGAAAAAACUUAUAUAAAUAGUCUGUUCGACUAUUAAAUUUUUACA
rnacentral:rRNA from 1 species